rnacentral:rRNA from 1 species
GUAGGCUGGUUUUCCAGGCAAAUCCGGAAAAUCAAGGCUGAGGCGUGAUGACAAGGCACUACGGUGCUGAAGCAACAAAUGCCCUGCUUCCAGGAAAAGCCUCUAAGCAUCAGGUAACAUCAAAUCGUACCCCAAACCGACACAGGUGGUCAGGUAGAGAAUACCAAGGCGCUUGAGAGAACUCGGGUGAAGGAACUAGGCAAAAUGGUGCCGUAACUUCGGGAGAAGGCACGCUGAUAUGUAGGUGAGGUCCCUCGCGGAUGGAGCUGAAAUCAGUCGAAGAUACCAGCUGGCUGCAACUGUUUAUCAAAAACACAGCACUGUGCAAACACGAAAGUGGACGUAUACGGUGUGACGCCUGCCCGGUGCCGGAAGGUUAAUUGAUGGGGUUAGCGCAAGCGUAGCUCUUGAUCGAAGCCCCGGUAAACGGCGGCCGUAACAAUAACGGUCCUAAGGUGGCGAAAUUCCUUGUCGGGUAAGUUCCGACCUGCACGAAUGGCGUAAUGAUGGCCAGGCUGUCUCCACCCGAGACUCAGUGAAAUUGAACUCGCUGUGAAGAUGCAGUGUACCCGCGGCAAGACGGAAAGACCCCGUGAACCUUUACUAUAGCUUGACACUGAACAUUGAGCCUUGAUGUGUAGGAUAGGUGGGAGGCUUUGAAGUGUGGACGCCAGUCUGCAUGGAGCCGACCUUGAAAUACCACCCUUUAAUGUUUGAUGUUCUAACGUUGACCCGUAAUCCGGGUUGCGGACAGUGUCUGGUGGGUAGUUUGACUGGGGCGGUCUCCUCCUAAAGAGUAACGGAGGAGCACGAAGGUUGGCUAAUCCUGGUCGGACAUCAGGAGGUUAGUGCAAUGGCAUAAGCCAGCUUGACUGCGAGCGUGACGGCGCGAGCAGGUGCGAAAGCAGGUCAUAGUGAUCCGGUGGUUCUGAAUGGAAGGGCCAUCGCUCAACGGAUAAAAGGUACUCCGGGGAUAACAGGCUGAUACCGCCCAAGAGUUCAUAUCGACGGCGGUGUUUGGCACCUCGAUGUCGGCUCAUCACAUCCUGGGGCUGAAGUAGGUCCCAAGGGUAUGGCUGUUCGCCAUUUAAAGUGGUACGCGAGCUGGGUUUAGAACGCCGUGAGACAGUUCGGUCCCUAUCUGCCGUGGGCGCUGGAGAACUGAGGGGGGCUGCUCCUAGUACGAGAGGACCGGAGUGGACGCAUCACUGGUGUUCGGGUUGUCAUGCCAAUGGCGCUGCCCGGUAGCUAAAUGCGGAAGAGAUAAGUGCUGAAAGCAUCUAAGCACGAAACUUGCCCCGAGAUGAGUUCUCCCUGACCCUUUAAGGGUCCUGAAGGAACGUUGAAGACGACGACGUUGAUAGGCCGGGUGUGUAAGCGCAGCGAUGCGUUGAGCUAACCGGUACUAAUGAACCGUGAGGCUUAACCUG